AGUGAACGCUGGCGGCGUGCCUAAUACAUGCAAGUCGAACGGAGUGGCGCACGGGUGAGUAAUAUAUAGCUAAUCUGACCCUUGCUGGAGGACAACAGUUAGAAAUGACUGCUAAUACUCCAUAGCAAGGGAUGAGACUAUAUCGUAUCAGCUAGUCGGUGGGGUAACGGCCUACCGAGGCUAUGACGCGUAACUGGUCUGAGAGGAUGAUCAGUGCCAUUGUAGCUGCUACACGGUCCAAACUCCUACGUGAGGCAGCAGUAGGGAAUAUUGCGCAAUGGGGGAAACCCUGACGCAGCAACGCCGCGUGGAGGAUGACAGUUUGCUGAGCGUAAACUCCUUUUGUUAGGGAAGCGGUACCUAACGAGUGAGCGCCGGCUAACUCCGUGCCAGCCGCCGCGGUAAUAC
rnacentral:rRNA from 1 species